CUGGACUUUAUCAUCAUCAAGGACACAAAAAGAAAAAGAAAAAGCUGCUGCCAGAAACAGAGCAGAAGUGUGAGGAAAAAACUGAGCUCACAGACAGCUGCAUGUGUGACCUUUAAUAUGCAGCUUCUGCUCUAAAAAACAAAUAAAAAUAAAAAAAAUGUGUAACUUGCUCAUCAGCUUGGUAGUGUCCACAUAUUUAAUUCAUUUUAUUCAGCUUCUCAAACCUGUAGCUUUAGCUGUUGUAUACAGGGUUUGGCUUAUUAGUUGUGUCAGGAAUAGAAAUAUUGUCCUGCUAUUAGUUGCUGCUAUUUUUAUAAUCAUCAUUAACAUUUCAGUAUUAAUAGUGAGGUUGCAGUUAGAUGCAUUCAGAUGUUCAAAUAUAUGGUUAUAGCCUUUAUUACAGGUCCAAAGAAGAACCAUUUUAAAUGGUUCUGUUGAAUCUAUAAUUUAAAUGUUAUUAAUGCUUUUAUGAUCUCUGUGUAGAGGGCAGAGACAGGAAAAUACUCUCUGUGCCAAAAUGAGACAGGAAACAAAACGCGUCUGCAGAGCAUGUUUUGCAGAAGUGAAACUGAAGCCAGAAGUUUAAGUGCAAGGGUGUUUAGUAUGCAUUUAUUGCGGAUUAAGCCUUAAGCAGUUGUGGUAGAUUGAAACAGUUGUUUAUAUAUUUCACAUAUAAGUCAAGAUCAUUACACACAGGAUGGCCUUAGCCUGGUUGGUUGCUUAAGUUGAGGUCAACUAAGGAUCAGAAAAGCAGAUGCAAACUCUGCACGUACACACAGACAAAUAGUGAGAGGUCAUGACACGUACGUAGCAUACACUGCAGACACAUACACACAGAAAUGCAGAAGUGUGCCGACGUACUUAGAGGAAGUGCACCAGACGAGCGACAGCGAAGAGGGGAAGCACCGACCCGAAGACAAUGUUUUUUAGAGCAAUGUUAAAGGUCAGGGAACAUUUUGUGGUUUGGAUUGACGUAAGCUGUACUAUUGUCUAUUUUUGUAAAAGAGGGGGGCUUUGUUAUUGUACCCAUAUAAAACCUUGUCUCAUGAUUGUAAGUUCAGUUCAACACUGAUUGGGUUGUUGAACUCACACAUGUGUUUAUUAAAAUGCCGUCUAAAUUGCACACGCCUGGAUCUGUGGUUUUUAUGGAUUCUUCUCUCAAUAUUGAACCCUAACAGUUGUUAGUAUAGGUUUGCUCUUCAUCUUAACAAAGUCUCAUCUAAGAUGACAGGUUUACAAGCAGGUCAAGUGUCUCUAUGCACCUGAUUAGUGUAGUUAUUUCCUUAUUUUCUUCAUCUCCUAUAUCAUUGUACUGAGUUUGAGCAAACCUUAAGCUUGAAUCAGACUACUUUUAACAAUCUUCCACCUCACAUCAUAACUGACUGAGGUGCCUCUUCCUAUUAAUAGUAUGUCAUUAUUAAUGUUAUCAUUGUAUUGUUUUUCCUUUUUUAUAACAGCAAUAGUAUAUCACAAUACACUACUUUACUACUAAUAUACAAUAGUUUAUUAUUUUAUAUUUUAUUAUGUGUCCAUCAAAGGCUGAUGUGACCUGCAGCUUCACACCUUCCCAAGCUGGAGACAUUUCC
ensembl:lncRNA